rnacentral:rRNA from 1 species
CCUGGUGGUUUUGGCGGGAAGCCUGAACCCGUUCCCAUUCCGAACACGGCCGUUAAACUUCCCAGCGCCAAUGGUACUAAGUCUCAAGACUUGGGAGAGUAGGUCGCUGCCAGGC